rnacentral:lncRNA from 1 species
UCCUUUGAACGUGUGUGUGCCUUGUAUCUCCUUGCUGCUGCUUUGAUAUUGCCACCGGGUAUAUCCUUAUAUUUUCCUAUUUUUUCGUGUAGUUGUGGCUGUGGGUGGUAAUGGGUGGUUAGGGUCAUGCCCGAGGGGGUUGGGGCGUGGGGUUGUGGUGGGGGCGGGGGAUGAGGAAAGGGCGGGAGUGGGAGGGAGGCCAAGGUUUGGCCGCGGGGGG